AAGCUAGUAAGACUCCUGGAAGAACACCAGGUUGAUAGGUCAGAGAUGUAAGCAUGGCAACAUGUUAAGUUGACUGAUACUAAUAAGUCGAGGGGGCUUGACCAAAUAA
rnacentral:rRNA from 1 species